GUGCCAGCCGCCGCGGUAAUACGAAGGGUGCGAACGUUAUUCGGAANANUGGGCGUAAAGGGUGCGUAGGCGGCAUGUUAAGUCAAUUGUUAAAUACCCCGGCCUAACUGGGGAUCAGCAGUAGAUACUGGUGUGCUAGAGGAUGGAAGAGAGAAGUGGAAUUCUUGGAGUAGCGGUAAAAUGUGUAGAUCUCAAGAGGAACACCAAUGGCGAAGGCAGCUUCUUAGUCCAUAUCUGACGCUGAUGCACGAAAGCGUGGGGAGCAAACAGGAUUAGAUACCCUGGUAGUCCACGCCGUAAACGAUGAUCACUAGACGUUAGUCUUGUUUUGCAAGAUUAGUGUCGUAGCUAACGCGAUAAGUGGUCCGCCUGGGGAUUACGGUCGCAAGAUUAAAACUCAAAGGAAUUGACGGGGGUCCGCACAAGCGGUGGAACAUGUGGUUUAAUUCGACACUACGCGAGGAACCUUACCUAGGUUUGACAUGCUUAUGAUCGCUACAGAGAUGUAGUUUUCUGGGGGUAACCCUAGACAUUUGCACAGGUGCUGCAUGGCUGUCGUCAGCUCGUGUCGUGAGAUGUUGGGUUAAGUCCUAUAACGAGCGCAACCCUUGCUAUCAGUUGCUACUCUGUGAAGAGGCACUCUGAUGGGACUGCCUGGGAAACCAGGAGGAAGGUGGGGAUGAUGUCAAGUCCGCAUGGUCCUUAUGCCUAGGGCAACACACGUGUUACAAUGGCCAAUACAAAGGGUUGCGAAGCCGUAAGGUGGAGCUAAUCUCAUAAAGUUGGUCUAAGUUCGGAUUGAGGUCUGUAACUCGACCUCAUGAAGUUGAAAUCGCUAGUAAUCGCAUAUCAGAACGAUGCGGUGAAUACGUUCUCGGACCUUGUACACACUGCCCGUCACACCACGAAAGCUGUUUGUGCCCGAAGAUAUUUUAGCUAACUCGUAAGAGAGGCGGGUAUUUGAAGGUAUGGAGAGUGAUUGGGGUGAAGUCGUAACAAGGUAACC
rnacentral:rRNA from 1 species